CAUUUUUCUGCUUGUUAUGAGUUACUUCCACCUUAUUUUUCUUUAUUUACAUUAUUCUCCUUUUAUUCACAAGGUCAAAGUUUGUGGUCUAAAAUUAUCUCUUUUUCUUGUCUUAGAGCCAUGCCCUGUGGGGAGAAAGCUCUGCUGUGGUUUUUAGCUCCCAGAAGUCCCAUGAGGCUACUUAGUUAAGCAGCUGUGAAGGCUGCUUUCUUCUGAGGGUGGAGUCCCCGUUUUCAUGGUGGGAAACAGCUCUUACUCCCAGGGCUAUUCAGUGAGCCAUCAGACAGCCUUGCUGCCUCCUCGGCCAGGGAUAUUCUUUUCACCAGAACUGUCAGAGUCAUAGAGUGGAGCCUCCUCGGCCCCUCCACGGGAACACAGACAAGGACUAGGGUUUAUGGGCCUCACUUGGUGGACAGUGUCUUAUCAGAUGUGUGCCUGAUGAACAUCAAAAUUACACAAAGACACCUUUUCUUCAAGCUCAGCACUGAAUUCUAUUUAAACCUUGACUUGAUCAUCUUGCAAGAAUGAAAAAAACAAAGGGCUCAAAGAUGGCACUACCAGUCUGGAAUGCAUGACUGGCUUUAAGGGAAGAAAGAUGCAUCUGGAAGUUAGAGAAAGGGAAGCAGAAUCCAAAGUGGCUGAAGGAAGUAGUGACAAAGAUGGCAUAGCAGGGGCGUGAGGAGCCUCCUGAGCUGUAGCUUUCAACGUUUGCUUGACUGUGGUCCACGAUGAGACCUGCUUUCUACACAGGGCCCCAGGACCUACAGGAUACAUGCAAAUGGGUGACCUGUGUAUGUGCACGGAAGGAUUUACAUAAAUACAGACUUUUAUAAACAGACAACUGAAAAGUUUCAUGAAAUAACACUUAGCCAUACUAGGUGUAAAGCACUCAUCUUUCUAUUUUGAGACUGAGUCUCACUCUAUGGCCCAGGCUGGAGUGCAGUGGCAUGAUCUCGGCUCACUGCAACCACUGCCUCCCACGUUCAAGCGAUUCUUGUGCCUCAGCCUCCCAAUUAGCUGGGAUUAUAGGUGCCCACCUCCAUGCCCAGCUGAUUUUUGUAUUUUUAGAAGAGAUGGGAUUUCACCAUGUUGGCCAAGCUGGUCUCGAACUCCUGACUGACCUCAAGUGAUCUGCCCGCCUCGGCCUCCCAAAGUGCUGGGAUUACAGGUGUGAGCCACUGCUUCCAGUCCUGUUCCACUACAUUCUCUUUCUAUGUCAUUAAAAAUGAUGAUUAUACCCCACCAGUGGGUCACAGUCUACCAUGUGGAAAUCAGUGCUUGUGGCGCUUUAAGUUUCUAUUUAUUAUAUUAACUCUAGAGGCUAAGUGUUAGAUUAUGACAUUGUUCAUUCUUUGGAAAAAAAGAUUUUAUACAUCAAAAAUUUAUAUAUAGUCGUCCCUUGGGAUUCAAAAGGGAUUGGUUCCAGGACCCCUGCAGAUACCAAAAUCCACAGAUGCUCCAGUCUCUGAUAUAAAAUAGUGUAGUAUCUGCGUAUAACCUACGCACUUCCUCCUGUACACUUUAAAUCAUCUCUAGAUUACGUAUAUUUAAUACAAUGUAAACGCUAUGAAAAUAGUUGUGAUACUGUAUUGUUUAGGGAAUAAUGACAAGGAAGGAAAGUCUGUACAUGUUUAGUACAAACACAACUAUCCAUUAAAAAAUAGACAUUCGGCUGGGCGCAGUGGCUCAUGCCUGUAAUCCCAGCACUUUGGGAGGCCGAGGUGGGCGGAUCACGAGGUCAGGAGAUCGAGACCAU